rnacentral:rRNA from 1 species
GACGGAGGAUGCAAGUGUUAUCCGGAAUCACUGGGCGUAAAGCGUCUGUAGGUGGUUUAAUAAGUCAACUGUUAAAUCUUGAGGCUCAAUUUCAAAAAUCGCAGUCGAAACUAUUAGACUAGAGUAUAGUAGGGGUAAAGGGAAUUUCCAGUGGAGCGGUGAAAUGCGUAGAGAUUGGAAAGAACACCAACGGCGAAAGCACUCUGCUGGGCCGACACUGACACUGAGAGACGAAAGCUAGGGGGAGCGAAUGGG